rnacentral:rRNA from 1 species
GGUUAAGCGACUAAGCGUACACGGUGGAUGCCCUGGCAGUCAGAGGCGAUGAAGGACGUGCUAAUCUGCGAAAAGCGUCGGUAAGGUGAUAUGAACCGUUACAGCCGGCGAUGUCCGAAUGGGGAAACCCAGUGCAAUUCGUUGCACUAUCGUUAACUGAAUACAUAGGUUAACGAGGCGAACCGGGGGAACUGAAACAUCUAAGUACCCCGAGGAAAAGAAAUCAACCGAGAUUCCCCCAGUAGCGGCGAGCGAACGGGGAGCAGCCCGGAGUCUGAAUCAGCUUGUGUGUUAGUGGAAGCGUCUGGAAAGUCGCAGGGUACAGGGUGAUACUCCCGUACACUAAAACACACAGGCUGUGAACUCGAAGAGUAGGGCGGGACACGUGGUAUCCUGUCUGAAUAUGGGGGGACCAUCCUCCAAGGCUAAAUACUCCUGACUGACCGAUAGUGAACCAGUACCGUGAGGGAAAGGCGAAAAGAACCCCGGCGAGGGGAGUGAAAAAGAACCUGAAACCGUGUACGUACAAGCAGUAGGAGCCCCACCACCAAAGCGUUUCGCUUUGCGUGGUGCGCAAAAUGCGUAACGACAGCAUGAUGGACGGUUAACGGAGCGUCAGCGACGUUCAACCUCAAAAAUCAGGCAGUGGAGCGUUUUGGGGUGGGGUGACUGCGUACCUUUUGUAUAAUGGGUCAGCGACUUAUAUUCUGUAGCAAGGUUAACCGAAUAGGGGAGCCGCAGGGAAACCGAGUCUUAACUGGGCGUUAAGUUGCAGGGUAUAGACCCGAAACCCGGUGAUCUAGCCAUGGGCAGGUUGAAGGUUGGGUAACACUAACUGGAGGACCGAACCGACUAAUGUUGAAAAAUUAGCGGAUGACUUGUGGCUGGGGGUGAAAGGCCAAUCAAACCGGGGGAUAGCUGGUUCUCCCCGAAAGCUAUUUAGGUAGCGCCUCGUGAAUUCAUCUUCGGGGGUAGAGCACUGUUUCGGCUAGGGGGUCAUCCCGACUUACCAACCCGAUGCAAACUACGAAUACCGAAGAAUGUUAUCACGGGAGACACACGGCGGGUGCUAACGUCCGUCGUGAAGAGGGAAACAACCCAGACCGCCAGCUAAGGUCCCAAAGUCAUGGUUAAGUGGGAAACGAUGUGGGAAGGCCCAGACAGCCAGGAUGUUGGCUUAGAAGCAGCCAUCAUUUAAAGAAAGCGUAAUAGCUCACUGGUCGAGUCGGCCUGCGCGGAAGAUGUAACGGGGCUAAACCAUGCACCGAAGCUGCGGCAGCGACACUAUGUGUUGUUGGGUAGGGGAGCGUUCUGUAAGCCGUUGAAGGUGGCCUGUGAGGGUUGCUGGAGGUAUCAGAAGUGCGAAUGCUGACAUAAGUAACGAUAAUGCGGGUGAAAAACCCGCACGCCGGAAGACCAAGGGUUCCUGUCCAACGUUAAUCGGGGCAGGGUGAGUCGACCCCUAAGGCGAGGCCGAAAGGCGUAGUCGAUGGGAAACAGGUUAAUAUUCCUGUACUUGGUGUUACUGCGAAGGGGGGACGGAGAAGGCUAUGUUGGCCGGGCGACGGUUGUCCCGGUUUAAGCAUGUAGGCGGAUGUUCCAGGUAAAUCCGGAACGUUACUAACGCUGAGGUGUGAUGACGAGGCACUACGGUGCUGAAGUGACAAAUGCCCUGCUUCCAGGAAAAGCCUCUAAGCAUCAGGUAACAUCAAAUCGUACCCCAAACCGACACAGGUGGUCAGGUAGAGAAUACCAAGGCGCUUGAGAGAACUCGGGUGAAGGAACUAGGCAAAAUGGUGCCGUAACUUCGGGAGAAGGCACGCUGAUGGUAAGUGAAGCGACUUGCUCGUGGAGCUGAAAUCAGUCGAAGAUACCAGCUGGCUGCAACUGUUUAUUAAAAACACAGCACUGUGCAAACACGAAAGUGGACGUAUACGGUGUGACGCCUGCCCGGUGCCGGAAGGUUAAUUGAUGGGGUUAUCCUCGCGGAGAAGCUCUUGAUCGAAGCCCCGGUAAACGGCGGCCGUAACUAUAACGGUCCUAAGGUAGCGAAAUUCCUUGUCGGGUAAGUUCCGACCUGCACGAAUGGCGUAAUGAUGGCCAGGCUGUCUCCACCCGAGACUCAGUGAAAUUGAACUCGCUGUGAAGAUGCAGUGUACCCGCGGCAAGACGGAAAGACCCCGUGAACCUUUACUAUAGCUUGACACUGAACACUGGUCCUUGAUGUGUAGGAUAGGUGGGAGGCUUUGAAGUGUGGACGCCAGUCUGCAUGGAGCCAUCCUUGAAAUACCACCCUUUAAUGGCUGGUGUUCUAACGUGGGCCCCUAAUCGGGGUUGCGGACAGUGUCUGGUGGGUAGUUUGACUGGGGCGGUCUCCUCCUAAAGAGUAACGGAGGAGCACGAAGGUCAGCUAAUCCUGGUCGGACAUCAGGAGGUUAGUGCAAUGGCAUAAGCUGGCUUGACUGCGAGCGUGACGGCGCGAGCAGGUGCGAAAGCAGGUCAUAGUGAUCCGGUGGUUCUGAAUGGAAGGGCCAUCGCUCAACGGAUAAAAGGUACUCCGGGGAUAACAGGCUGAUACCGCCCAAGAGUUCAUAUCGACGGCGGUGUUUGGCACCUCGAUGUCGGCUCAUCACAUCCUGGGGCUGAAGUAGGUCCCAAGGGUAUGGCUGUUCGCCAUUUAAAGUGGUACGCGAGCUGGGUUUAGAACGUCGUGAGACAGUUCGGUCCCUAUCUGCCGUGGGCGCUGGAGAAUUGAGGGGGGCUGCUCCUAGUACGAGAGGACCGGAGUGGACGCAUCACUGGUGUUCGGGUUGUCAUGCCAAUGGCAUUGCCCGGUAGCUAAAUGCGGAAGAGAUAAGUGCUGAAAGCAUCUAAGCACGAAACUUGCCCCGAGAUGAGUUCUCCCUGACUCCUUGAGAGUCCUGAAGGAACGUUGAAGACGACGACGUUGAUAGGCCGGGUGUGUAAGCGCAGCGAUGCGUUGAGCUAACCGGUACUAAUGAACCGUGAGGCUUAACCUU